UAAAUUACUUGAAGAAAUUCUGCCAAUACGAAAAUGGUAGAUCUUUUAAACAAGAUAUGUGUUAACAAUUAAAUGUAGAACUAAAUUUAACCUGUAACUAAUAUUUUAGUGUCAAGUUACAGGUGGGUACUCAUUAGUUUUACUAAAUGAGCAGUAUUUUGUGAUGUCAUGAUUUCGAGUAUGAAUCGACAAAAUGUUAUAAACAGGUUAUGUAUGGAAUAAUCAACGUGCAUGAAAAAGAGAAAGUCGUAAUACGAUGUUUAUGAUCAAAAUAAAAUAAUUCGUGAUACAAGAGGUCGACAUGUCAUGAAAUAUAGGUUAUGUAUAGACAGAAACGAAUAAAGGAAGUAAAUUCUUAGAAUUUUCAAGCAAUUUAUCUCGUUCAAAGAUUAAAGGGUGCAUUAGGUCUUUAUGUAUCUGUGUGUGAAAAAUGAGUCCAA